UGGGGAAUAUUGGACAAUGGGCGAAAGCCUGAUCCAGCAAUGCCGCGUGAGUGAUGAAGGCCUUCGGGUUGUAAAACUCUUUCGACGGGGACGAUCAUGACGGUACCCGUAGAAGAAGCUCCGGCUAACUUCGUGCCAGCAGCCGCGGUAAUACGAAGGGGGCUAGCGUUGUUCGGAAUUACUGGGCGUAAAGCGCGCGCAGGCGGUUUUUCAAGUCAGUGGUGAAAGCCCGGAGCUCAGCUCCGGAAAUGCCAUUGAAACUGUAAAACUUGAGGAUGAGAGAGGUGAGUGGAAUUCCCAGUGUAGAGGUGAAAUUCGUAGAUAUUGGGAAGAACACCGGUGGCGAAGGCGGCUCACUGGCUCAUAUCUGACGCUCAGGCGCGACAGCGUGGGGAUCAAAC
rnacentral:rRNA from 1 species